rnacentral:ncRNA from 1 species
UUAUUUAGAGUAGCAAAUAAAUGUACCAGCAGGCGGCAAUACAGCAACGAGCUUUAACUCAUUUUCUUUUUGAUCCCUAGGAUUAAUAGUUUUAUAAAAUUUACAGAAAACUUGGUCCAGAAUAAUCGGUCCCAGUUUUUUAUUUUUUUCAAAGAAGGGUAAGAUUGAUUUUUUGGAAUUCAAAGGUUGAUCUGAGACAUUUGGUGAAGGUUUUUUAUAAUAGACUUAGGAUAUAAAAUUGAAAAAAAUGACCCGGUUUUGUAUCCGGUUAGUCAAAUUUUAAUGUUAGGCUGGAGUAAAGUUGAAUUUAAAAAGAAUUUAUUUGUCAGGGAUUCAUCCGGUGUUUGGAGGUUGGCGGUUAAAUGGAGAAACCCCUGCUUAGCUAGAUCUUUAGCUGCCUGAAUGAUUGCUUGAUUUACUCUUUUACUUAAUUUAGAUAGUGACUUUUUGAUUAGUAAACUAGAAUAAGUGUAAUCUGUGGUAAAUAUAAUGAUCUGUCUUGCUGACCUACAUUUUUUUAGCUAGCUAAAAUUUGGAUAGAUUUUUAUUAAAAUUGGAAAACAUAGUAUGGUGUCCUUAAUGUUAAAUUGGAUAUUGCGCUGAGUCCGGUACCAAUCGUCCAUCGCUACCCUAACGGGGUUUAAGUUGUAGCAAAGUGGGUUUAGGAGAACCUAAACCUAAAAGAA